AGUGGGUGUAGCGUACCUACUAGCCUACGACGGGUACGGGCUGUGAGAGCAAGAGCCCGGAGAUGGAUUCUGAGACACGAAUCCAGGCCCUACGGGGUGCAGCAGGCGCGAAAACUUUACAAUGCUGGCAACAGCGAUAAGGGAACCUCGAGUGCCAGGUUACAAAUCUGGCUGUCGAGAUGCCUAAAAAGCAUUUCAUAGCAAGGGCCGGGCAAGACCGGUGCCAGCCGCCGCGGUAACACCGGCGGCUCGAGUGGUAACCGCUUUUAUUGGGUCUAAAGGGUCUGUAGCCGGCCAAGUAAGUCCCUUGGGAAAUCUGGCAGCUUAACUGUCAGGCUGCUAGGGGAUACUGCUGGGCUUGGGACCGAGAGAGGUGAGAGGUACCUUGGGGGUAGGGGUGAAAUCUUGUGAUCCUCGGGGGACCACCAGUGGCGAAGGCGUCUCACCAGAACGGACCUGACGGCAAGGGACGAAAGCUAGGGGCACGAACCGGAUUAGAU
rnacentral:rRNA from 1 species